CCAGACUCCUACGGGAGGCAGCAGUGGGGGAUAUUGCACAAUGGGGGGAACCCUGAUGCAGCGACGCCGCGUGGGCGAUGGAGCGCCUCGGCGCGUAAAGCCCUAUCAGCAGGGAAGAAGAUGACGGUACCUGACUAAGAAGCCCCGGCUAAAUACGUGCCAGCAGCCGCGGUAAUACGUAUGGGGCAAGCGUUAUCCGGAUUUACUGGGUGUAAAGGGGGCGCAGACGGCAGCGCAAGCCAGGAGUGAAAGCCCGGGGCCCAACCCCGGGACUGCUCUUGGAACUGCGCGGCUGGAGUGCAGGAGGGGCAGGCGGAAUUCCUGGUGUAGCGGUGAAAUGCGUAGAUAUCAGGAGGAACACCGGUGGCGAAGGCGGCCUGCUGGACUGCGACUGACGUUGAGGCCCGAAAGCGUGGGGAGCAAACAGGAUUAGAUACCCGGGUAGA
rnacentral:rRNA from 1 species